AACGAACGCUGGCGGCAUGCCUAACACAUGCAAGUCGAACGAUAUCUUCGGGUCUAGUGGCGCACGGGUGCGUAACGCGUGGGAAUCUGCCCUUUGGUUCGGAAUAACAGUUGGAAACGACUGCUAAUACCGGAUGAUGACGAAAGUCCAAAGAUUUAUCGCCAGAGGAUGAGCCCGCGUAGGAUUAGCUAGUUGGUGUGGUAAAGGCGCGCCAAGGCGACGAUCCUUAGCUGGUCUGAGAGGAUGAUCAGCCACACUGGGACUGAGACACGGCCGAGACUCCUACGGGAGGCAGCAGUGGGGAAUAUUGGACAAUGGGCGAAAGCCUGAUCCAGCGAUGCCGCGUGAGUGAUGAAGGCCUUAGGGUUGUAAAGCUCUUUUACCCGGGAUGAUAAUGACAGUACCGGGAGAAUAAGCUCCGGCUAACUCCGUGCCAGCCGCCGCAGUAA
rnacentral:rRNA from 1 species